rnacentral:rRNA from 1 species
GGGAAACUGCCCGAUGGAGGGGGAUAACUACUGGAAACGGUAGCUAAUACCGCAUAACGUCGCAAGACCAAAGUGGGGGACCUUCGGGCCUCACACCAUCGGAUGUGCCCAGAUGGGAUUAGCUAGUAGGUGGGGUAAUGGCUCACCUAGGCGACGAUCCCUAGCUGGUCUGAGAGGAUGACCAGCCACACUGGAACUGAGACACGGUCCAGACUCCUACGGAGGCAGCAGUGGGGAAUAUUGCACAAUGGGCGCAAGCCUGAUGCAGCCAUGCCGCGUGUAUGAAGAAGGCCUUCGGGUUGUAAAGUACUUUCAGCGGGGAGGAAGGCGGUGAAGUUAAUAGCUUCACCGAUUGACGUUACCCGCAGAAGAAGCACCGGCUAACUCCGUGCCAGCAGCCGCGGUAAUACGGAGGGUGCAAGCGUUAAUCGGAAUUACUGGGCGUAAAGCGCACGCAGGCGGUCUGUCAAGUCGGAUGUGAAAUCCCCGGGCUUAACCUGGGAACUGCAUUCGAAACUGGCAGGCUAGAGUCUUGUAGAGGGGGGUAGAAUUCCAGGU